CCUACGGGUGGCAGCAGUGAGGAAUAUUGGUCAAUGGGCGCGAGCCUGAACCAGCCAAGUCGCGUGAGGGAAGACGGUCCUAUGGAUUGUAAACCUCUUUUGUCGGGGAGCAAAAGACGCCACGCGUGGCGUUCCGAGAGUACCCGAAGAAAAAGCAUCGGCUAACUCCGUGCCAGCAGCCGCGGUAAUACGGAGGAUGCGCGCGUUAUCCGGAUUUAUUGGGUUAAUGGGGUGCGCAGGCGGAAGAUCAAGUCAGCGGUAAAAUUGAGGGGCUCAACUUCUUCGAGCCGUUGAAACUGGUGUUCUUGAGUGAGCGAGAAGUAUGCGGAAUGCGUGGUGUAGCGGUGAAAUGCAUAGAUAUCACGCAGAACUCCGAUUGCGAAGGCAGCAUACCGGCGCUCAACUGACGCUGAUGCACGAAAGUGUGGGUAUCGAACAGGAUUAGAUACCCUUGUAGUC
rnacentral:rRNA from 1 species